ACUUGAGCAUACACCACCAGAUAUGGGGUGGAUGCUCUCUUUAAUGGCGUUCUCCGUUGAUAAUGAUAAAUGUAAUGGCUAAUAAAACAUUGAUGAGAUUGAUCGCCAUGACCAGCAAAUUGACAGGUAUGCAAAGAAAUUGCCGAAAAAAAAUACCGAAGGCAAUUUUAUAAUGAUAUAACACUUUGGCUAUUCACUCAGAACAAAAAUGUCUUUUACGAAUUCAGUUGCAAUCGAUUCAAAACGGGCAGAACCUUACACCAAGAACAUGUGUUCAUCCAAUAUGCAAAACUUGGUACAUCAAACCAUGAAAGUCAUAGAUCAUAUACAGAAUUUAUGACGUCAUCAAGUGAGAAUUAUGCCACGUUGUCCUACAUAUGACACUGAGACAGCGCUAGUACCAAGUGGUAUCUAAUUUUGGGGUAACGUGAAGUUAACGCGAUGUAAGCGGAAUAUUUCCAUGGCGACAUACAUGUAAUUCUAUAGAAAAUGCUGGUUUGACGUCAAUUUGUCAUAUCGCCAAGAGACGUUUAUCCUUAUCAGGUGUCAAUCCUACAGAAAAUGCUUCGUUAACUUGCUCAAAAUGCAAUGCACCAUGCAUAAAACAAGCAUUAUCGAACACUCGCUUUGUUUUACACUGUAAGAUACAUGUAUACAAACAAUUUAAAGUAGUGUGUCGAUAUUUUUUUCACGUGGGAUUGUAGUAUAAGAUUUCUAAGCAACAUAAAACGAGAUUGAAAGAUACGAUCCAGAAUUACAUUUUAUCCAUUCUCCAAUGAUAAAAAAGAUAACAAAAUCAGUGCUAAAGUGUUCGGAACUUGUAAAAAACGUCGAAAAAUUGCGAAAUUAUUUUGGUGAAAAACGAUUGCAUUGAAUGACUAUUAAUCACGCAAAAAGAUUCCUUGCUUGUGACAGAGCAAUCAAUGAAUGCGUGGGAGGGGACGGGGGUUGGAUCAAUCGGACACAAAAGCGCAGAUACGGUGCAACAAUCUUUCCAUGACGCUAUGCGAUUUCUGUCAGUUUGACGGGUUAGCUGUUUGUUUAUGGAAAUUAUAUCACAGGCGUAACAUUAGAGGAAAUCAAAUCUCGGAGAAGGAGCACUAGGAAUACUUUUCGAACUUCAUCAUCUAAUUGACUCGGUCUUUGCAAGAUCGAAUUGGAUGCUAUGUUUUAUCUUUAUUGUAUAUUGUCCUCUUGUAUCACUAUGUUUGGUUAGAGUGAAUAAACUGAACUUGAACUUG
rnacentral:sRNA from 1 species